UGCUCGGCACCCCCGCGCUCCCACUCCCUCCACGCAGAGGCCGGGGAGCCCCGGGCUCCCCUCGCGCGCGCCCCCCACACUCACCAUCGCCACGGGCGCCCGGCCCCACGCCCGGCAGCCGCCCGCCCGCAGGUCGGCGAGCGCCCGAGCCCGCGAGCAGCGCCCGCGCAGGCGCAGACCGUAACCGACCGGCGCGCGGGGCAGGGCGGGGCGGGGCGGGGCGCUCGACACCGCCCGGGCCGGGUCACGUGAGGAGCACGCCGCCGCGCCGCCUCUCCAGGAGCCCGCGGAGAGUCGGGUGACUCCCUCCGGCUUCUCGCCGCCGUUCGCCGCGGUGAGGCAGAUGACUGGCAGGUCUUGGACUCCGCUCACAGGAGUUAGGAGGCCUAGGUCAAGUCACAGCCCUGACACUUCCUGGGAGUGACCUUGGACAAGUCCCUGGGCCCCAAAUGCCUGUCUGAGAAGUAGCGCCUGCCUCGCAUGUGUCCCUCAGCCCUUGGAAGAAUCCCUGGGAGCGACGGUGUGACUCUCACUGGUCAACUGGAGCUUGCACCACAGAGGUUCCUGGUGCCCACCCGAGACCUACUGCGUCAAAGUCUCCAAGAGGAGGGGCUCAGGAAUUGGUAUUUUACGAGAGGCAAGUGCGAGCCUUGUGUUGCAGCAGCUGGGAAGCCCUGGACGAGACGUGGCAUGUUGCAAGGUCAGCAAGCCUGGGUUUGACUCCUAGACCCACCACUUCCAGGUUCUGUACCUGGGGCAAAGCCCUGCCCCGCUCUGAGCCUCAAUAUCCCCAUCUUCAAAAUGAGGGUCUUUCUGGGUGCCUGCCUUCUCAGUCCCUGAGGGGGGCUACCCAGGAUAGCAGACCCAGAGUGAUGGACGUCCAUUCUCCUUCACGUG
rnacentral:lncRNA from 1 species